rnacentral:tRNA from 1 species
GCCCCGUAGUGUAGUGGUUAUCACGUUUACCUAACACGCAAAAUGUCCCCAGUUCGAAACUGGGCGGAAACA